AGCCCAUAAGACGAGAAGACCCUAUGGAGCUUUAAAUUAAUGGCGGACCAUGUAAAGGACCCUUGAAUAAAAGGCUGAACUUAGUGGCUUCCUGUCCUGAUGUCUUGGGUUGGCGCGACCAUGGAAAAACAAGCAUCCCCCGUGCGGGAUGGGAGGACCACCCCUUUCUUUUUCUUCCCCCUCCUCCUGAUCCUAAAACUUGACGCUCUGAUUAAGUUACCUUCUGACCAUCAGCGAUCCCGCAGUGCMGAUCMMCGRACCAMGUUACCCUAGGGAUAACMGCGCAWKCCCCUUUWAGAGCCCAUAUCGACRAGGSGGUUUACGACCYCGAUGUUGGAUCAKGACAUCCCAAUGUGGUCGCCGCUCUUACCGGAUCGUUUGCUAACGACUGAUGUCCUACGUGAUCUGAGUUCAGACCGGAGGUCAUA
rnacentral:rRNA from 1 species